CAGUAGCCGCGGUAAUACGUAGGGUGCAAGCGUUAAUCGGAAUUACUGGGCGUAAAGCGUGCGCAGGCGGUUUGUUAAGACAGAUGUGAAAUCCCCGGGCUCAACCUGGGAACUGCAUUUGUGACUGGCAAGCUAGAGUGUGGCAGAGGGGGGUGGAAUUCCGCGUGUAGCAGUGAAAUGCGUAGAUAUGCGGAGGAACACCGAUGGCGAAGGCAGCCCCCUGGGCCAACACUGACACUGAGGCACGAAAGCGUGGGGAGCAAACAGGAUUAGAUACCCCCGUAGUCCCUGUCUCUUAUAC
rnacentral:rRNA from 1 species